rnacentral:rRNA from 1 species
UACGUAGGGUGCAAGCGUUAAUCGGAAUUACUGGGCGUAAAGCGUGCGCAGGCGGUUAUGCAAGACAGAUGUGAAAUCCCCGGGCUCAACCUGGGAACUGCAUUUGUGACUGCAUGGCUGGAGUGCGGCAGAGGGGGAUGGAAUUCCGCGUGCAGCAGUGAAAUGCGUAGAUAUGCGGAGGAAUACCGAUGGCGAAGGCAGCCCCCUGGGUCAAGACUGACGCUCAUGCACGAAAGCGUGGGGAGCAAACAGG